GGGGGCGAAUUGGAUUCGACCGGGCAGUGGAAGUGGGAGUGGCGUGCCGUGGUUGGUCAGUGGGCCACGUAAAAAGCUGACCGCACAUUAAUUGUCGAGGACAACCUCGUCUUGGCUGCGUAACAAAAAACGCGCAGUCCCGGCUGCGGAACUCCGCCGGAUAGUUCCAAAAGUCGGUCGCAAAUUCGGCUAGCGACCCGUCACGACGGGCACACGGUUCGCGAAACAACGUUCCCGCCUAGCAACCCGAGAGCCCUGCCGAGGAGGCGCUCGGAGCGCGAAACUCAAAUUCCACGACUACGCACGUAGAGGCUUUCAUGGAAAUGCCGCGGGACGCGGGUUCGAUCCCCGCCGCCUCCACUA
rnacentral:tmRNA from 1 species